AAGUCGUAACAAGGUUUCCGUAGGUGAACCUGCGGAAGGAUCAUCAACAAAUCUAAUUUUUUUAGUAUGGUUCUCCAUACUAAUAACCAAUGUGAAUUGGAAUAAUAAAAAUAAUAAUAAUAAUAAUAAUAUUAUUAUUAUUAUUUUAUUAUUCUUUUUAAUAAUUAGUAGUUAGUAGUAGUAGUAGUUAGUAAGUGUUGUUGGUAUGAGUGGUGUAUAUGUGUGUAUAUACUCUCUUUCCUCUUCUCUUCUUCUUUCUCUUCUUCUUCCUACUAUAUUAUAAUAAACGAGUAUUUUAGAGUCUGUUAAAAUAAUUAAAUUUUUAAACAACUUUUAACAAUGGAUCUCUUGGCUCUU
rnacentral:misc_RNA from 1 species